AUGCUCCUACGGGAGGCAGCAGUGGGGAAUAUUGCACAGUGGGGGAAACCCUGAUGCAGCAACGCCGCGUGAGUGAAGAAGGUUUUCGGAUUGUAAAACUCUGUUAGCAGGGAAGAGGAAGGACGGUACCUGCAGAGGAAGCCACGGCUAACUACGUGCCAGCAGCCGCGGUAAUACGUAGGUGGCAAGCGUUGUUCGGAAUAACUGGGCGUAAAGUAUGCGUAGGCGGGUA
rnacentral:rRNA from 1 species